CUACGGGUGGCAGCAGUGGGGGAUAUUGCACAAUGGAGGAAACUCUGAUGCAGCAACGCCGCGUGGAGGAUGACACUUUUCGGAGCGUAAACUCCUUUUAUAUAGGAAGAAGAUGACGGUACUAUAUGAAUAAGCGCCGGCUAACUCCGUGCCAGCAGCCGCGGUAAUACGGAGGGCGCAAGCGUUACUCGGAAUCACUGGGCGUAAAGAGCGUGUAGGCGGAUUAAAAAGUCAGAAGUGAAAUCCUAUAGCGUAACUAUAGAACUGCUUCUGAAACUCUUAAUCUAGAAUAUGGGAGAGGUAGAUGGAAUUUCUGGUGUAGGGGUAAAAUCCGUAGAGAUCAGAAGGAAUACCGAUUGCGAAGGCGAUCUACUAGAACAUUAUUGACGCUGAGACGCGAAAGCGUGGGGAGCAAACAGGAUUAGAUACCCUAGUAGUC
rnacentral:rRNA from 1 species